rnacentral:rRNA from 1 species
AUACGUAGGUGGCGAGCGUUAUCCGGAAUUAUUGGGCGUAAAGGGUGCGUAGGCGGCAUAUUAAGUCUGUGGUUAAAGUGCGGGGCUCAACUCCGUAUUGCCAUAGAAACUGGUAAGCUAGAGUGCAGGAGAGGGCAGUGGAAUUCCAUGUGUAGCGGUAAAAUGCGUAGAUAUAUGGAGGAACACCGGUGGCGAAGGCGGCUGCCUGGCCUGUAACUGACGCUGAGGCACGAAAGCGUGGGGAGCAAAUAGGAUUAGAUACCCUAGUAGUCCACGCUGUAAACGAUGAAUACUAAGUGUUGGAGCAAUUCAGUGCUGUAGUUAACGCAAUAAGUAUUCCGCCUGGGGAGUAUGCACGCAAGUGUAAAACUCAAAGGAAUUGGCGGGG